UGGCGGCGUGGUUAAGACAUGCAAGUCGAACGAGAGAAUUGUUAGCUUGCUAAUAAUUCUCUAGUGGCGCACGGGUGAGUAACACGUGAGUAACCUGCCCCCGAGAGCGGGAUAGCCCUGGGAAACUGGGAUUAAUACCGCAUAGUAUCGAAAGAUUAAAGCAGCAAUGCGCUUGGGGAUGGGCUCGCGGCCUAUUAGUUAGUUGGUGAGGUAACGGCCCACCAAGGCGAUGACGGGUAGCCGGUUUGAGAGGAUGUCCGUCCACCCUGGAACUGAGACACGGUCCAGACUCCUACGGGUGGCAGCAGUCGAGAAUCAUUCCCAAUGGGGGAAACCCUGAUGGUGCGACGCCGCGUGGGGGAAUGAAGGUCCUCGGAUUGUAAACCCCUGUCAUGUGGGAGCAAAUUAAAAAGAUAGUACCACAAGAGGAAGAGACGGCUAACUCUGUGCCAGCAGCCGCGGUAAUACAGAGGUCUCAAGCGUUGUUCGGAAUCCCUGGGCGUAAAGCGUGCGUAGGCUGUUUCGUAAGUCGUGUGUGAAAGGCGCGGGCUCAACCCGCGGACGGCACAUGAUACUGCGAGCCUAGAGUAAUGGAGGGGGACCCGGAAUUCACGGUGUAGCA
rnacentral:rRNA from 1 species